GAUCCUGGCUCAGAACGAACGCUGGCGGCAGGCUUAACACAUGCAAGUCGAGCGCCCCGCAAGGGGAGCGGCAGACGGGUGAGUAACGCGUGGGAACGUACCUUUUGCUACGGAAUAACUCAGGGAAACUUGUGCUAAUACCGUAUGUGCCCUUCGGGGGAAAGAUUUAUCGGCAAAGGAUCGGCCCGCGUUGGAUUAGCUAGUUGGUGAGGUAAAGGCUCACCAAGGCGACGAUCCAUAGCUGGUCUGAGAGGAUGAUCAGCCACACUGGGACUGAGACACGGCCCAGACUCCUACGGGAGGCAGCAGUGGGGAAUAUUGGACAAUGGGCGCAAGCCU
rnacentral:rRNA from 1 species